rnacentral:rRNA from 1 species
UAGAUACCCUGGUAGUCCACGCCGUAAACGAUGUCGACUUGGAGGUUGUGCCCUUGAGGCGUGGCUUCCGGAGCUAACGCGUUAAGUCGACCGCCUGGGGAGUACGGCCGCAAGGUUAAAACUCAAAUGAAUUGACGGGGGCCCGCACAAGCGGUGGAGCAUGUGGUUUAAUUCGAUGCAACGCGAAGAACCUUACCUACUCUUGACAUCCAGAGAACUUAGCAGAGAUGGUUUGGUGCUCGAAAGAGAA